rnacentral:ncRNA from 15 species
GGGAAUCCGGUGCGAAUCCGGAACUGUCCCGCAACGGUGUACUCGUACACGUAUGCCCGCAUGCGUUCAUACGAGCGUCAGUCCGAGGACC